AUCAGGUCCUUGGGGAAGUUGGUCCAUGCCACUUUCUUUGCCUCCGUCUCCUUCUCCUUCAGCGCCGCUUCUUGCCUCGCAAGCUUCCACUCUCUUAAAUCCACGGCCCCUCCACUUGCCAUUCACUACCGUAUGCAAAGAAUCAUCCUGUAUCUUCAGGAUGCAGAAGCAACCGCUGAAAUAACUGUAGAGAUCGCCUUUCAGUUCGAAACCGUGACCUUGAGAAUACACCCUAAAUUAAAAUGAUUCAACGGAAUACAAAAUCGGAUCCUUCGAAUCGAUGCCAGAUUCUAAGGAGGUAAUCUCCUCUAGGGAUUUUGGUAAACCCAGGUGCAAAUCGAAGGUUCCGAGUUCACAAGAACAACAUACUUUGCCAACUCAAAGGAUUCCCUGUCUUUCCUGCGAACUGUCGCGUGCUACUCUACACGAGAGUUUCAUUCACCUGUGAAACAUCAAAAUCUGCCGCUCAGCUUUUCAAACUGCCAUUCUCUGCUUUCCACUGACAUCCAUCAUCUACUCUUGCCAAGACGGGUGCGCACACAUAAAUCCCGCUCCUCCGAAAUAACUUCAGAUGAGAUUGACGAUACGAAAGGAAAGACGGCUCGUGAAGGACGCUCAGCUCCGCAAAUUGGACGGUGAUUCGGAAAACGUAACAAUUUUUUUAAAGCCGAUACAAUAAAAAUAAAAAUAAAAAACCCUUUGCACGAGUAGCAUCCCCUAGCACACGCUGACUAUUUGUUCGCUUAUCUAAAAGCACAUCAAGAAACCCAACACUGCACGAUAUGCGCAGAGAGAUCCAUCUUUGGAUGCAUUCAUUACAUAAAUCCGGAAAGGCGACACAAGCGCAAAGGACAGGGAAAGAUGCGAAAACCAACGAUGAGCUUCCAAAAAUUAUGAUGUAUAUCUAGAAUGCCCACGAAAGCGACUGCGCAGUCCGAGAGGAGGAAUAGGAGGAAGAAGAGGAGGGAAACUAAAUAUGCGUGUCAGCAACGACAAGCCGGCAACCAAGCACACGGUCGGGUCUGGCGUCCCACCUGAGACGACGAUCGACGAAAAAGCAGUUCCGGGAGACGACUGGAGCGGAAUAAAAUAGACCGGAAACGAUAGAGAGGGGACGGAGCGAGAGAGGGGCUUUUUUCUCAAAGAGUUGACAAGCGAGGCGUGGAUAGUACUACACGUCGAGAUCGACCAGGGCAAGCGCCCAAGCAGAAACAGUACGAAACGGAACGAAACGGAGAAACGAAAUCAGAAAUGGAAUGGACAAGGCUGGGUAAUGGAAGACGAUGGAAGCACACGAGGACCUAACACAGGAAAUGGAUUGGAAUGCAGAAGGGAAAAAGGUUGACUGAGUGCGCAACGGCCAUUCGAGGGAAGAAGAAGAAGACGAAGUGGCGCUUCAUGGAAGCUCGUCACACCAGCGCCAGAAUACAGUUGUACUUGUGCUGCAACUGCUACU
rnacentral:lncRNA from 1 species